GGCGAGACAGCGAUGUCGAGCUAAUCUCCAAAAGCCAUCUCAGUUCGGAUUGCACUCUGCAACUCGAGUGCAUGAAGUUGGAAUCGCUAGUAAUCGCAGAUCAGCAUGCUGCGGUGAAUACGUUCCCGGGCCUUGUACACACCGCCCGUCACACCAUGGGAGUUGGUUUUACCCGAAGGUAGUGCGCUAACCGCAAGGAGGCAGCUAACCACGGUAGGGUCAGCGACUGGGGUGAAGUCGUAACAAGGUAGCCGUAGGGGAACCUGCGGCUGGAUCACCUCCUUUCUAAGGAAGC
rnacentral:rRNA from 1 species